rnacentral:SRP_RNA from 1 species
AUGCACUAGACGGGGAGAUAGCGGUGCCUUGUAACCUGCAAUCCGCUAUAGCAGGGUUGAAGUCCCACUGGAGGAUAUAAAAGUUUUAUUAAGACUUAUAAGCGUGGUGUUGAUUUCUAGGUCUUACGCAAUAGAAAGCUGUGAACCAUGUCAGGACGGGAACGUAGCAGCAUUAAGCAGUACUUUUUAUGUGUCGUAAGGUCACCUAGGAUGAGUCAUUCUUAUAAGACACUGGUAAGAGUUUUAUAGACGAAUUUGGGUGUGCUU